rnacentral:rRNA from 1 species
CAGCAGCCGCGGUAAUACGAAGGGUGCAAGCGUUAAUCGGAAUUACUGGGCGUAAAGCGUGCGUAGGCGGUGAGUUAAGUCUGCUGUGAAAUCCCCGGGCUUAACCUGGGAACUGCAUUUGUGACUGGCAAGCUAGAGUGUGGCAGAGGGGGGUGGAAUUCCGCGUGUAGCAGUGAAAUGCGUAGAUAUGCGGAGGAACACCGAUGGCGAAGGCAGCCCCCUGGGCCAACACUGACGCUCAUGCACGAAAGCGUGGGGAGCAAACAGGAUUAGAUACCCCCGUAGUCCCUGUCUCUUAUAC